CCUUUGGGUGGCCCCCUGAGAGCUAGUCUUCCAACACGUGGGACCCCCGGAGUUCAGCCCGAGCCGCCAGGGAGCUGUCAGGACGGGUCCUCUUUGCGGCUGGAAGGGGCAGCCAAGAUGUCCUGGGCUCCAGCAGACACUGCUGCAUCCAUUCCGUGUCAUGCUCACUCGAACCCUGCAAGAUUCCACCCUGACCUCAGCCCUGCUAAAUCCUGGAAACUUACC